UGCUCAGUUUAGCAGCGUACUACUAAAAUUGUAAUGAUAAGAAAGAUUUUCAUGGUCCCUCUACAAGGAUGACAUGCAAAUUCAUGUAGCUAUCUCUAUUUCU